GAACUUGUUUGUGCAAUGGAUAAUGCGCCUGACUACGGACCAGGAGAUUCCAGGUUCGAAUCCUGGCAGGCUCG
rfam:Schistosoma haematobium scaffold636_28, whole genome shotgun sequence.